GAUGAAGAACGUAGCGAAAUGCGAUAAGUAAUGUGAAUUGCAGAAUUCAGUGAAUCAUCGAAUCUUUGAACGCACAUUGCGCCCCUUGGUAUUCCGAGGGGCAUGCCUGUUCGAGCGUCAUUACACCACUCAAGCUAUGCUUGGUAUUGGGCGUCGUCCUUAGUUGGGCGCGCCUUAAAGACCUCGGCGAGGCCACUCCGGCUUUAGGCGUAGUAGAAUUUAUUCGAACGUCCGUCAAAGGAGAGGAACUCUGCCGACUGAAACCUUUAUUUUUCUAGGUUGACCUCGGAUCAGGUAGGGAUACCCGCUGAACUUAAGCAUAUCAAUAAGCGGAGGA
rnacentral:misc_RNA from 1 species